rnacentral:snRNA from 1 species
GCGUCCUCAGCGACGGACCGGGC